GAUGAACGCUGGCGGCGUGCUUAACACAUGCAAGUCGAACGGUGAAGCAGGAGCUUGCUCUUGUGGAUCAGUGGCGAACGGGUGAGUAACACGUGAGCAACCUGCCCCUGACUCUGGGAUAAGCGCUGGAAACGGCGUCUAAUACUGGAUAUGUGAUGUGACCGCAUGGUCUGCAUCUGGAAAGAAUUUCGGUUGGGGAUGGGCUCGCGGCCUAUCAGCUUGUUGGUGAGGUAAUGGCUCACCAAGGCGUCGACGGGUAGCCGGCCUGAGAGGGUGACCGGCCACACUGGGACUGAGACACGGCCCAGGCUCCUACGGGAGGCAGCAGUGGGGAAUAUUGCACAAUGGGCGGAAGCCUGAUGCAGCAACGCCGCGUGAGGGGUGACGGCCUUCGGGUUGUAAACCUCUUUUAGCAGGGAAGAAGCGAAGGUGACGGUACCUGCAGAAAAAGCACCGGCUAACUACGUGCCAGCCGCCGCAGUAA
rnacentral:rRNA from 1 species